UACGAGGGGGGCAAGCGUUGUUCGGAAUUAUUGGGCGUAAAGAGCUCGUAGGCGGUCUGUCGCGUCUGCUGUGAAAACUCAGGGCUUAACCCUGAGCUUGCAGUGGGUACGGGCAGACUAGAGUGCGGUAGGGGAGACUGGAAUUCCUGGUGUAGCGGUGAAAUGCGCAGAUAUCAGGAGGAACACCGGUGGCGAAGGCGGGUCUCUGGGCCGUAACUGACGCUGAGGAGCGAAAGCAUGGGGAGCGAACAGG
rnacentral:rRNA from 1 species